rnacentral:rRNA from 1 species
UGAAUACGAGACGCUAAGGCGUUGAAGUAGUGUAUGUCAUACUUCCAAGAAAAGCUUGCACUGUCAUAGAUAAAAAACGCCUGUACCAUAACCGACACAGGUGGGUAGGUAGAGUAUACUAAGGGGCGCGAGAUAACUCUCUCUAAGGAACUCGGCAAAAUAACUCCGUAACUUCGGGAGAAGGAGUGCCUUAUUUAUAAGGCUGCAAUAACAAGAUCCAAGCAACUGUUUAUCAAAAACACAGGUCUCCGCUAAGUCGUAAGACGAUGUAUGGGGGCUGACGCCUGCCCAGUGCCAGAAGGUUAAAGAAGUUGGUUAGCAAUAGCGAAGCUGAUAACUGAAGCCCUGGUGAACGGCGGCCGUAACAAUAACGGUCCUAAGGUAGCGAAAUUCCUUGUCGGGUAAGUUCCGACCCGCACGAGAGGCGUAAUGAUUUGGAUACUGUCUCGGAGAGGGGCUCGGUGAAGUAGACUUGUCUGUGAAGAUGCGGACUACCUGCACCAGGACAGAAAGACCCUAUGAAGCUUUACUGUAACUUGAAAUUGAAAUUGGACUUUAUUCGCGCAGUAUAGGUGGGAGGCGUUGAUUGUAAUCUUGCGGGAUUAUUGGAGCCAUCAGUGAGAUACCACCCUUGUAAUGUUAGAUUUCUAACUUUGAAUCAUUAUCUGGUCAAAGAACAGUUUCAGGCGGGCAGUUUGACUGGGGCGGUCGCCUCCUAAACGGUAACGGAGGCGUACAAAGGUUUCCUCUGAACGGUUAGAAAUCGUAUCUAGAGUGUAAAGGCAUAAGGAAGCUUGACUGUGAGACCUACAAGUCGAGCAGGGACGAAAGUCGGUCUUAGUGAUCUGACGGUACUGAGUGGAAAGGCCGUCACUCAACGGAUAAAAGUUACUCUAGGAUAACAGGCUGAUCUCCCCCAAGAGUUCACAUCGACGGGGAGGUUUGGCACCUUGAUGUCGGCUCAUCGCAUCCUGGGGCGGUAGUACGUCCCAAGGGUUGGGCUGUUCGCCCAUGAAAGCGGUACGCGAGCUGGGUUCAGAACGUCGUGAGACAGUUCGGUCCAUAUCCGGUGUAGGCGUUAGAAUAUUGAGAGGAGCCUUCUUUAGUACGAGAGGACCGAGAAGGACAUACCUCUGGUGUACCAGUUAUCGUGCCAACGGUAAACGCUGGGUAGCUAUGUAUGGAGUGGAUAGCCGCUGAAAGCAUCUAAGUGGGAAGCCCACCUCAAGAUAAGUAUUCU